AGCUUAUCGUUUUUUAUGAUAGGUAUUUUCUGCCCGGUGUCGUUGUGAUAAACGGCCGCGGUACUCUGACCGUGCAAAGGUAGCAUAAUCACUUGCCCUUUAAUUGGGGGCUGGAAUGAAGGAAAGUUUUGAAAAUCUUACUGUCUCUCCUCUUUUGUUGUAAUUUGCUGUCUUCGUGAAGAAGCGAGGGUUUAAGAGAAAGACAAGAAGACCCUGUCAAGCUUAACUUCUUUGCUUCUAUUUCUUCUCUUUGAGUAUCUGUUUUGUGAGCGAUGUAGGUUUGGUUGGGGUGACUGGAAAGGAUUUAAAGUAUCCUCUCUUUGAAUAACUGACUUUUAGUCAUUUAAUGAACCAGGAGGGUUGCUGGUUUUGAGAAUUAGUUACUGUAGGGAUAACAGCGUAAUUCUCUCGGAGAGUUCUUAUUGAUGAGGGAGUUUGCGACCUCGAUGUUGCCUUGUCGUUUCCUCUGUUUAGGUGUAGCAGCUGGAAGGGUUAGUCUGUUCGACUAUUAAAACGGC
rnacentral:rRNA from 1 species